AUUUUAACCCAAAAAACCAUCUCCAUUCCUCCUUUCGAACCCUCAAUCUCUCCUCAAUUCUCCGUUGACGCUUACUCACAGUUGCCGUCACCUCUCUCCCCUCACCUUUUGAUUUCUCGUUUGUUGCCCUCCUCGGUCCUCAGGCAACUAAGAGAUGCCACGAUACAAAGAUGAGCCUCCGGCGAUUAGGGUUUAUACAGUCUGCGAUGAAUCCAGAUACUUGAUAGUGCGAAACGUUCCUUCUCUGGGUUGUGGUGAUGAUCUGAUGAGAUUAUUCGCGACCUAUGGAGAUAUCGAAGAAUUUAAACCCAUGGAUGCAGAAGAAUGUGUGGAGUUCACUGAUGUCUACUGGAUCAAAUUUCGUCUCAUCAGCAAUGCCAGGUUUGCGAAGAGGAAGUUGGAUGAGUCGGUUUUCUUAGGGAACCGGCUCCAGGUUUCAUAUGCUCCAGAGUUUGAGAGCCUCGACGAUACAAAAGAUAAGUUAGAAACCAGGAGGAAAGAAGUCAUUGCAAGAUUGAACCCGCAGAAAGCCAAGGGCACCCCGAAAGUUUCGGAACAGGUUGGCCCGUCAUUGACUCACUUUGAUAAUUUCUCCCGCCAAGGUCUCCCUAAACAAAGGACCAUGGCUGGAGAGUCUGAGUAUCAAUCCUUUACAAAAAACGCUCCAGUUGCUCGAGUUUCAUCUAACCAGGACUAUUUCCCGUCUCCUUCGAUGAAUCAGACGGUUCAUUUUGUCAGGGAGAAGCUCAACAAGAUUCAAGAAACUGGUGAUCAGAAGAGGGUUCAGACAAGCAACCAGUACCAACAAUCAGAACCGGUCCUCAAGAGAGCCCGUCUCGACAAUAGAAGAAGAAUCUAAAGCAUGUUCUUCUGUUGCAAAGUUUAGAUUCCUCGGAUUGGUUCGGUAUUCGAAGCUGAUAUCAAACCCGAAUCCAUCGGUUUCAGGGUCAGUCCGAUCAGGGAUGGAGCAGAUGGAUCGUUGUUUGUUGAUCACUUUACAUUAUGGCCAAUCUUCAAUGUGAACUAGCUGAAGAACUAGCCGGGAGGAAACCCUGUACUACAGUCCCUAGACGCAUCGUCAGGUCAUAGCAAACAUGUGGGCUUGGAUUCUCUUGUUCCAUACACCCCUGGAGAGGGCUAGGGAAUGGCGUGGGCGGGUACCCGAGAUUUUCGGGCCACCCUACACCGGGUUCACUCUCUCGGGUUUCAAGGUCAGAGGUCUCAGUCUCGUUCCCGUGGUGGUCAGAAUCUGAGCCGGCUGUAAGGUGGUUGUCGAGGCCUGGGUGAUGUGGAGAGAGUGAGGCAGAGGAAGUGAAUAGAGACGAGAGUCAUAAUGGACGAGGCGGGGCAUGAUGACCAACAAGGUGAGCCGAGGCCAUGCGAAAUCAUCAUCUGUUUGGAUAGAGCAAAACCAUCCCAUUACCCGAGAAGAGUGAUUCCCGAAUGAUUAAAAAGUAACUCCGUACGGUACAUCUAUCUUCUAUCGUUUUGAACCAAACUUUUGGGGACUUUUACAAAUUGAACAAUACCAACUCUGCUCACUUGUUUGCAGAGUCCGAAGAUUACAGAUGAAAUCAGGUACAAGGGCGAGAUUACACGAUAGAGGAGAUGGCUUUACUGGUCCUGUUGAAAGAAGUUUUCACGUUGCAAAGAAACAACAGGAAUGCGUCUCUCUCGCAAAGGUACACAAACACAAACACGUGCUUGAGCCUUGUUUUUUUAAGAUUUGACAGAACAUAUUGAAAGAGACUGCCACAUUGUCCGUCUGAGCCAUGCAGCUGUAAUCCUUUUCUCCUCAAUGUUGUGUCCUUUUCGUGUUUCGGCUCGAGAGUUUUGUUUCCUUUCUUACCCGACAUCGGGUUCUUGCAUCACUUCUGUUUUAGUUUAAGGGUGGAAGUUUCGGGUUUUGGUUUAAGUAUUUAUCCAGAAGGUUUAUUCGCUAUUAUAAAAUUUGUACCGAGAUAGUACCAUACUUCAUUAGGUUUAGUUUUGGUUUCGGUUUGAUUCGGAACGAUGAUUUUUUUGUAUGAUUACCGAAACAUGAUUACUGCCGACUCUUGUUGGAAUUGACCGGUUCAGUUUUUGUUAUGGAUUAUUUUUCUAUCGUAAA